CCGCUGAAAGCAUCUAAGCGGGAAGCCCACUCCAAGAUUAGGAUUCCGUUCGGUCUUCGGAUCGAUGAAGAGCCCUCGAAGACUACGAGGUUGAUAGGCUGGGUGUGUAAGCGCUGCGAGGCGUUGAGCUAACCAGUACUAAUUGUCCGUGAGGCUUGAUCAUAUAACUUGAGC
rnacentral:rRNA from 1 species